AAAUUGAAGAGUUUGAUCAUGGCUCAGAUUGAACGCUGGCGGCAGGCCUAACACAUGCAAGUCGAACGGUAACAGGAAGCAGCUUGCUGCUUCGCUGACGAGUGGCGGACGGGUGAGUAAUGUCUGGGAAACUGCCUGAUGGAGGGGGAUAACUACUGGAAACGGUGGCUAAUACCGCAUAAUGUCGCAAGACCAAAGAGGGGGACCUUCGGGCCUCUUGCCAUCAGAUGUGCCCAGAUGGGAUUAGCUUGUUGGUGAGGUAACGGCUCACCAAGGCGACGAUCCCUAGCUGGUCUGAGAGGAUGACCAGCCACACUGGAACUGAGACACGGUCCAGACUCCUACGGGAGGCAGCAGUGGGGAAUAUUGCACAAUGGGCGCAAGCCUGAUGCAGCCAUGCCGCGUGUAUGAAGAAGGCCUUCGGGUUGUAAAGUACUUUCAGCGGGGAGGAAGGUGUUGUG
rnacentral:rRNA from 1 species